CGGGUGCGAGUGCUGCCUUGUAGCGGCAUUAGCCUGCUCUUUUUCGAAAUCUACAGGGGUGUCUUUAACGUGCAAGAGAUAUGGCUCUCUCUUAACACUGGUAAGCCAUUUAUCGUCCCCUUCCGACGGACUAUCAUUGUUUCCUCAAGACCAUACUCGCAAAUGGUGUCAAGGGAGAGCCGAAAAUUAAGUCCCUGGAAUUUUCA
rnacentral:lncRNA from 1 species